AGAACGAACGCUGGCGGCAGGCUUAACACAUGCAAGUCGAGCGCCUCGCAAGAGGAGCGGCAGACGGGUGAGUAACGCGUGGGAAUCUACCCAUCCUUACGGAACAACUCCGGGAAACUGGAGCUAAUACCGUAUACGCCCUUAGGGGGAAAGAUUUAUCGAGGAUGGAUGAGCCCGCGUUGGAUUAGCUAGUUGGUGGGGUAAAGGCCUACCAAGGCGACGAUCCAUAGCUGGUCUGAGAGGAUGAUCAGCCACAUUGGGACUGAGACACGGCCCAAACUCCUACGGGAGGCAGCAGUGGGGAAUAUUGGACAAUGGGCGCAAGCCUGAUCCAGCCAUGCCGCGUGAGUGAUGAAGGCCCUAGGGUUGUAAAGCUCUUUCACCGGAGAAGAUAAUGACGGUAUCCGGAGAAGAAGCCCCGGCUAACUUCGCGCCAGCAGCCGC
rnacentral:rRNA from 1 species